UGAGUAAUGUCUGGGAAACUGCCUGAUGGAGGGGGAUAACUACUGGAAACGGUAGCUAAUACCGCAUAACGUCGCAAGACCAAAGAGGGGGACCUUCGGGCCUCUUGCCAUCUGAUGUGCCCAGAUGGGAUUAGCUAGUAGGGUGGGGUAAUGGCUCACCCUAGGCGACGAUCCCUAGCUGGUCUGAGAGGAUGACCAGCCACACUGGAACUGAGACACGGUCCAGACUCCUACGGGAGGCAGCAGUGGGGAAUAUUGCACAAUGGGCGCAAGCCUGAUGCAGCCAUGCCGCGUGUGUGAAGAAGGCCUUCGGGUUGUAAAGCACUUUCAGCGAGGAGGAAGGUGGUGAGCUUAAUACGCUCAUCAAUUGACGUUACUCGCAGAAGAAGCACCGGCUAACUCCGUGCCAGCAGCCGCGGUAAUACGGAGGGUGCAAGCGUUAAUCGGAAUUACUGGGCGUAAAGCGCACGCAGGCGGUUUGUUAAGUCAGAUGUGAAAUCCCCGGG
rnacentral:rRNA from 1 species